rnacentral:lncRNA from 1 species
AUAAUAUUGGAACUCUGCGGUCUUCCCAUUGUUUCUUAUGGGGGAAAUAUAGGCAUGUCUGUCUAUUUCGCCAAAUAUCUCGCAAUGUGUAUAUUUAGAUUUUUUUCAAGUCUUGUGUAACCGGUGUGAAAUGGCUAGCUAGAUAGUGGGGUGCGCGCUAAUAGCAUUUCAAUCGGUGACUUCACUCGCUCUGAGACCUUGAAGUGGCUUUUGUGGAGUGAUGGAUAACGAUGCUUCGAGGGUGGCUGUUGUCUAUGUGUGCAGAGGGUCCCUGGUUUGAGCCCAGUGGCUCACUUGUGGGCGUGCUGGCAGGAUAUGGCAGCAUCUUCGGUUGUGCGUCAAGAAUUCUGCGGACACCUACGAAGAUGGCAUCUCAGAGAGCAAGCUGAUCAAUGGGUCGAAAAUGUAGAUAUAGCCAGAUGUUCACUGUCCGAGGAACAGGCCAUGGAAGCUUUAUUGCUGACGAAAGUGUUCAUAACCAGAGCAUAAAGUACUCUGUAGCCACUUAGUGUGGACACGUAAUGGUGGUCUGGAGCAAUGAAGCCGUGACACUGGGCACCUCUAAGUCCCGCGGUGCAAGCUCACAACUUUUAAAGAAGGAACCACUGUACGUGCAUUGUGCAUGAGUGUGUGUGUGUGAGUGCAGUGUGUGUGUGUGCGUGUUUGUGUGUGUGUGCAGCAUGCGUGCGUGUGUGUGUGUAUUUUCCAUGUGUGUGUGUAUUGUGCUUGUGUGUGUGCGUGUGAUUUGCCCUGGAGGACUGAGUCACCGCCAUGAUUCAAUGGAGACACACAUACACACCAUCAGCUAUAGGGGACAGGACCAUGCCCCAGUUCAUAUGCUGAGUAACAGGACAGAAGGCCCAAUGAAGACCGAAGAACAAAAGGUUAAAGGUCAUGCCAUAUUAUAAUUUAUGAUAUUCCUCGUUCUGAUAUUUCCAAUAUUUUUCCACUUUUGGAUAAUGUGUGUAUUGUUAUUGUAUUGCUAGAUAUUACUGACUGUUGGAGCUAGACGCGUAAUAUUACUGACUGUUGGAGCUAGACGCGUAAAAUUACUGACUGUUGGAGUUGUAAACAUAAUAUUACUGACUGUUGGAAACAUAAUAUUACUGACUGUUGGAAACAUAAUAUUACUGACUGUUGGAAAUAUAAUAUUACUGACUGUUGGAAACAAUAUUACUGACUGUUGGAAACAUAAUAUUACUGACUGUUGGAGUUGGAAACAUAAUAUUACUGACUGUUGGAAACAUAAUAUUACUGACUGUUGGAAACAUAAUAUUACUGACUGUUGGAGUUGGAAACAUAAUAUUACUGACUGUUGGAAACAUAAUAUUACUGACUGUUGUAAACAUAAUAUUACUGACUGUUGGAGUUAGAAUCAUAAUAUUACUGACUGUUGGAGUUGGAAACAUAAUAUUACCGACUGUUGGAGUUAGAAACAUAAUAUUACCGACUGUUGGAGUUAGAAACAUAAUAUUACUGACUGUUGGAGUUGGAAACAUAAUAUUACCGACUGUUGGAGUUAGAAACAUAAUAUUACUGACUGUUGGAAACAUAACAUUACUGACUAUUGGAGUUGGAAACAUAAUAUUCCUGACUGUUGGAAACAUAAUAUUACUGACUGUUGGAAACAUAAUAUUACUGACUGUUGGAAACAAUAUUACUGACUGUUGGAAACAUAAUAUUACUGACUGUUGGAGUUGGAAACAUAAUAUUACUGACUGUUGGAAACAUAGUAUUACUGACUGUUGGAAACAUAAUAUUACUGACUGUUGGAGUUGGAAACAUAAUAUUACUGACUGUUGGAGUUGGAAACAUAAUAUUACUGACUGUUGGAAACAUAAUAUUACUGACUGUUGGAAACAUAAUAUUACUGACUGUUGGAAACAUAAUAUUACUGACUGUUGGAAACAAUAUUACUGACUGUUGGAAACAUAAUAUUACUGACUGUUGGAGUUGGAAACAUAAUAUUACUGACUAUUGGAGUUGGAAACAUAAUAUUCCUGACUGUUGGAAACAUAAUAUUACUGACUGUUGGAAACAUAAUAUUACUGACUGUUGGAAACAUAAUAUUACUGACUGUUGGAAACAUAAUAUUACUGACUGUUGGAGUUGGAAACAUAAUAUUACUGACUGUUGGAAACAUAAUAUUACUGACUGUUGGAGUUGGAAACAUAAUAUUACUGACUGUUGGAGUUGGAAACAUAAUAUUACUGACUGUUGGAAACAUAAUAUUACUGACUGUUGGAAACAUAAUAUUACUGACUGUUGUAAACAUAAUAUUACUGACUGUUGGAGUUAGAAUCAUAAUAUUACCGACUGUUGGAGUUAGAAACAUAAUAUUACCGACUGUUGGAGUUAGAAACAUAAUAUUACUGACUGUUGGAAACAUAAUAUUACUGACUGUUAGAAACAUAAUAUUCCUGACUGUUGGAAACAUAAUAUUACUGACUGUUGGAGUUGGAAACAUAAUAUUCCUGACUGUUGCAGUUAGAAUCAUAAUUACUGACUGUUGGAGCUAGAAACAUAAUAUUAUUGACUGUUGGAAACAUAAUAUUACUGACUGUUGGAAACAUAAUAUUACUGACUGUUGGAAACAUAAUAUUACUGACUGUUGGAGUUGUAAACAUAAUAUUACUGACUGUUGGAAACAUAAUAUUACUGACUGUUGGAGUUAGAAUCAUAAUAUUACUGACUGUUACAGAUGAAGAACCACAUAUGUUACAUUUAACUACUUUUAAUAUAAACAUCAUACACCAUUAUUUGAUAUCCUGUCUAUAAAAUGAAGUGGUCAUGCAAACUCUUUACGCACCCAUUAGCCGGUAUUUCACAUUUAAAAUAGACUCACCCAGUGCUUAAUUUGUAAAUCGGGAGGUGCCGGAACUCAUGAGAAAAUAAAUCACCUUUAUGAUAAAGCAUUGCGGGCAUAUCAUCACAUUUUCGUAGUGCCAUAGAGCAGUAGAGUUGAGGCACUUAUAGAGGUUGCACACAUGGGGAACAUUUUUAGCAGCCUAGGGUCCGGGAAAAAUGUGGCCUUUUAUAAACGCAUUUCAUGCAAUUCCACUUCAUUUUACAUGACUGGAGACUUUGGCAGAAUCUUUUUUAAAACCACACAAAUUAUCGAAAUGGCAGGAUACUUUGACACUGACAAACUGAGAAUCUAAGUUCAAUAAAAACGACCUUGUCUUGAAUCCAUCAAUAGUCUAUCCCAAGCGGUGUGGAGACACAUGUUGUAGGCUACAAUACGAGGAGGAAAUUAUAGUCAUAAACAUGCUUUCCAGUUUCACUGACACACCCAAUGAUGAGCAGCUCAGUCACUGGUGAUAUUUUGGUAGCCUACAGCAUAGAGUAUUUUCUUUUCAGCAGGAACCAUUUGCUUUCCAACCUGUGUUUUCCCUCGAUUGUAUUUGAAAUAUUGCAUACCCAGAAAAACCUAUAUGUCCGAAGCAAAAAAUGGAGCGGCCAGUGGUUUGUCUGAGCGCAGCGGGCAAAACCCGUCAAAUAUUAUAAAAAAUGGAAGAAUAAACAUAAAUUAAUGGAAGACUUGAGGGAUGCAGGGAAACCUUACAUCGUUCUCAAGGGAGAACAAAAACAAGGGAAAAGAGCAUGGGAAGAGGUACGUGGAAGAACCAUCUAUGUAAAAGGUUCUGUUGGCUAACGUUAGCUAGCUAGCAUGGUAUUGUUUGCUUUAGCCUAAUAAUUAUCCUGAUAGAUGUCAAAACAUUAGACAUAAAACUGUCAUCAUGUUAAAUUGGUAAAUGGCAUGGUUUUUGUUUGGAUUUUAUGGUAACUUCUGCACAGAUACCUGUGUGCCAAACUUCUAGAGGAGCGCAAGCUACAGCUUGUCAUAUGACGACAAGCCUGGAUUCUUUCUGGAUUGGAACAGGUAGGCAAGUUGAGAACAUGUUCUCAUUUACAACUGCGACCUGGCCAAGAUAAAGCAAAGCAGUGCGACACAAACAACAACACAGAGUUACACAUGGAAUAAACAAACAUACGGUCAAUAAUACAAUAGAGAAAGUCUAUAUACAGUGUGUGCAAAUGAUGUAGGAUAAGGGAGGUAAGGCAAUAAAUAGUCCACAGUCCGGAACCUCCAGAGACGGUCCACAGUCCGGAACCUCCAGAGACGGCUUACAGUCCAGAACCUCCUGAGACGGCUUACAGUCCGGAACCUCCUGAGACGGUCCACAGUCCGGAACCUCCUGAGACGGUCCACAGUCCGGAACCUCCUGAGACGGUCCAUGGCCCGAAGCCUCCAGCGAUGAUCCAUGGCCCGGAGCCUCCAGCGAUGAUCCAUGGCCCGGAGCCUCCAGUGAAGAGCCAAGGCCCAGAGCCAAGGCCCAGAGCCUUCAGCGACGGUCUGCAGUCCAGAGCCUCCAGCGACGGUCUGCAGUCCAGAGUCUUCAGCAACGGUCUGCAAUCCAGAGUCUUCAGCGACGGUCGGCAGUCCAGAGCCUUCAGCGACGGUCGGCAGUCCAGCGCCUCCAACGACGGCCGGCAGUCCAGAGCCUCCAGCGACGGUCGGCAGUCUAGAGCCUCCAGCGACGGUCUGCAGUCCAGAGCCUCCAGCGACGGUCUGCAGUCCAGGGCCUCCAGCGACGGUCUGAGGUCCAGAGCCUCCAGCGACGGUCUGCAGUCCAGAGCCUCCAACGACGGCCGGCAGUCCAGAGCCUCCAGCGACGGUCGGCAGUCUAGAGCCUCCAGCGACGGUCUGCAGUCCAGAGCCUCCAGCGACGGUCUGCAGUCCAGGGCCUCCAGCGACGGUCUGAGGUCCAGAGCCUCCAGCGACGGUCUGCAGUUCAGAGCCUUCGGCAACGGUCGGCAGUCCAGAGCCUCCGGCGACGAUCUAUGGUCCGGUUCCUCCGGCAACGAUCUACGGUCCGGAGCCUCCGGCGACGAUCCACGGUCCGGUUUCACGGAAGUGGGGGGAGCCUCAAGCGGAGCGGGGUCUGCGUCCCGCACCGGAGCCUCCACCGAGAGGAGUUGCCCACCUGGGUGAUGCCCACUUGGGUGGGCAUAUCUAUGUGUCUAUUUCUUUGUUGGCCUAGUAUGGUUCCCAAUCAGAGGCAGCUGUUUAUCAUUGUCUCUGAUUGGGGAUCAUACUGAGUCAGCCCUUUUUCCCACCUGUGAUUGUGGGAUCUUGUUUUUGUGUAGCUGCCUGUGAGCAGCCCAGAACGUAACGCUUCAUUUUCUUCUGUAUUGUUUUUGGUGAGUUUCAUAUUUAUUAAACAUGUGGAACUCUAAGUACGCUGCGCCUUGGUCCAAUCUUUACGACGAGCGUGACAUGGUGCUUAAAGUCAGUGAUGGAGAUAUGAGACUCCAGCUUCAGUGAUUUUUGCAGUUCGUUCCAGUCAUUGGCAGCAGAGAACUGGAAGAAAAGGCGGCCAAAGGAGGAAUUGGCUUUGGGGGUGACCAGUGAGAUAUACCUGCUGGAGCAUGUGCUACAGGUGGGUGCUGCUAUGGUGACCAGUGAGCUGAGAUAAGGCGGGCCUUUACCUAUCAAAGACUUAUAGAUGACCUGGAGCCAGUGGCUUUGGCGAGGAAUAUGAGCGAGGGCCAGCCAACGAGAGCGUACAGGUCACAGUGGUGGGUAGUAUAUGGGGCUUUGGUGACAAUACUACUUAAGUAGGUUUUUGUGGUAUCUGUACUUUACUUUACUAUUUAUAUUGUUGACAACUUUUAAUUUUACUUCACUACAUUCCUAAAGAAAAUAAUGUACUUUUAACUCCAUACAUUUUCC